rnacentral:rRNA from 1 species
GUGUCAUCGAGUCUUUGAACGCAUCUUGCACUCUCUGGUAUUCCGGAGAGUAUGUCUGUUGGAGUGUCAUGAAUUCUUCAACCCCAUCGUUUCUUGUAAACGUUUGGGUGCUUGGAUUCUGAGCGUUGCUGAUUAUUAGCUCGUUCGUAAUGCAUUAGCAUCCCGAUGACAAGUUUGGAUUGACUUGGCGUAAUAGACUAUUCGCUGAGGAGUAAGUGGGUCUCCCACUGAGCCAACUCGUUUCAGGAAGCUUCUAAUCCCAAAGUCUACCUUUUAGAUUCAGAUCUCCAAUCAGGCAGGAUUACCCGCUGACUUAAGCAUAUCAAUAAGCGGAGG